CUUAUCUACUCUUGAUGUUUAAAUUAGCCUUCAAAUGCUUUUGGGAGAUCAGAGACAAAGAUUGACACCUGGUCUACCUUGGCACCUCUGCUCAGUAAAAUCAACAGGUGACACAGCCUUUGUGGUCCGGACCCUGCAACACGCGCAUUUCACACCACCCUGGAGGCGAUGCUUCCCGAAGAAGCCAGGGUGGUGGGGCGCCUGCACAGAGGGGCUCUGGUUUCCCUGGUGGAGACCCCUGUACUGUGGGAGGCGAGCGGGAGUUCUGGCCAUGGACUAGGGUGCAGUGAAAGUGGAACCAUGCACACUGCCCAUAGCUGGACAGUCAAACGCCGGGUCUUGGCGGGCUGGGUGGAGUCCAAAGUGCCCCCUCUCGGGCAUGUGGAAUGCAAACUCCUAGGAGGAGGGGAGGAUCCUGGAGGCCCCUGGGGCGUGAUGGAAAGAACCACAGACAGAGGGGUCUGGAAAGGUGGGUCUUUCCCAGUGGAGACCCCUGUGGGGUGCAGGUGGCAGCUGAUUGGACAGGAUGGCCCUGGCUUUAACCUUCCAAUUCCCUUCCAGUGUCCUCCCCGGGAAUCCCCCUGUCCUGCCCCACCAGUGUAGCAGGUAGAUGUUCCUGAGCAAACCAUCUCCUCUCCAGCCUUAGGAUCCUCUGCACUUCCCUGGAAUUAACCUGAGUGCCCGGUCCAGUGCACAGGGUUGCCAGAGGGUCACAUUGAGCUACUCAGUGACUUACUUUUAAUGACCAUGAAACCUUCUGGGCUUGAGUGUUUAUGGGAGACUUCCCAGGCAUCCGUGUUUGCUCAUUUUAACCUUGAUUCUCUACUGUUCUUACUGUACAUUUUUCUUAUCCAUUUAUGAUACUAAAUGUAUUAUCUAGAAGAAAACAAAGAAAGCAAGAGAGACAAUUUGCAGCUCAAUUAACAAAAGAAUUCUAUUUUUUUUCCCUCAAUUGUUUACUUCAAUGCCAAACAUUUCUCGGACCUGAGUAUUUGAGGUAUGUAUGACUUUCCUUUCUUGAUGUCAGCCAAAUCAGAAGGACAGCAGGGUUAGCCAACUUGGGAUCAGGUUCUUUAGCUCCAGAGUGACUCAGGAAUGCUGCUCACCCUGCCUGGCCCUCAUCUUUCAGUCUUACAGUGAAGGUGAAGUUAACCUAUUUCACCUGAUCCCUGGAAGGAAAGGAGAAAGGUCUCCAUUGCUUAAUCGUAAGAGAAGAGCUCUCUAAGUACCUGGUGACCAUGGCAAUUUUGGAGAGGAGUCACCUUCAUGAGAGUAGUUUUUCUGAUGUCUUGAUUCCAAAGUCUUCUCCAGGCUUCUGUUGGCUCGUGUAGACUCCACUAUUGCAGGAGAGAAGGGAGCGGCUGCACUAGGUCACACUGAAUUUGAGCUGGGCGAGAGUGAGGCCUGGGGUCCUGCUACAGAACCAUCAUCAUGGGGGACCUAUGAGGAAGACCAGGCCCGGAGGUCAGGCCUGCGCUGCCGUCUCACUUGCCUCCAUCUUCAACUCUUCCGUGUCCUUCGGAGGUCUGUGGGGACAGUGUAUACAGGAAUUCUGACAAUUUAAGAGACUAUUUCAACUGCCAAAGUCAACCUAAUGUAAUCAGAAGUCACCUGGAAACUGAUGGGUAAGUGGAUGACAAGUAAGACUUUAGCUAAGGAGUAUGAUUAUAUUUUAGGCCAGUAACUCCUCGAAGAAGAAAAUUUGUAAAUACUAGGUAAAAUGUUAGGCAAAUGAUUUAAAUUGCCUCCUUUUCCACUUUAAUGACUCACCCACCAACUCUGCCUGACUAUGACGCAAGCAAGCGAAUGUGAAGCUACUUGCAGACUUCCUAGUAACAGACCUUCCCACCUGGUGGGAUCGACCCUCUUGCUCUGUGGAGUAUUGCUAUUUCAUGAGCAUUUUAGUCUAUCCUGUGAUUUUUAACUAUUAGUUUCUCGUUUCCCCCAGUGGUAUUGCAUAUCUCAUUAACUACACAGACGUAAUGUACACAUGCACAUGAUCCAUGUGCAUAAAUAAUUUCAUAUGCAGCACACAUAUGGUAAUUGUGUAAGAAUAAAUGGUUCUGGAGACCAUUUUUGAUAAAGACUGGUUCCAGCGCCCUGACCUGACCUUUUGAGUCUGACAUGUGGUUCCAUUUCUACCGCCCUCACCCACUUUGAGGCCUUGGCUUGCUCUGUAUUGCUCUUGUCUGUGAUGACACUUGUGUUUUUUUUUUUUUUUAAUUCCUCUUUGGCUGCUGUUCACUGUUAUAGACUGCUUCCCAAAUAAAUCUCAAGUGACCCCCUGUGUGAGUGCGUGUCCCUAUCUCAGGUCACCAAAAGCCUGGCCUUGUGAGAUCUGAUGCAUGUCGUCUAGGGCUGUGAUUUCCAUCCUGUGUGUGAGGAGCCUUUGCUACACACAGCUCAGGUCACCGUCACUUCACGGAGUGCUCCUGUCUCUUUCACUGACCUUUGCAUUAUUGUCUGUGUUUAGGAAGGUGCUGAUCCCGCCUUCUUUAUCAGGUGGCUUGAAUUGAAUUUUUAAACGUGAGUUGCUGCAGAUCCUUCUGAAAUAUGUUUAACAGUCACUAAUAGGGCAUUAUGUAAAAAUGUGGAUGUGUAACCGAUGUGAUUCUGCAACUUGUAUUUGGGGUAAAAAUGGGAGUUCAUAACCCACUUGAAUCAAAUGUAUGAAAGAUGAUAUGUCAAGAGCUUUGUAAUGUUUUGAACAUCCAAUAAAAAAAGUGAAAUAUGUUUAAAUUUUACAUGGGCAAACAUGUAUUUUCUAACCUGAAAUAUAUAAACAUUUUUAAAGAACAUUUCCCCUCUUUUAUAAACAAUGAACACCCCCCCAACAUACACAUCCCUUGUAUUGCUUAAACACUGUGUAACGUUUGAUUGUACAUUUGUUUUAUUUAUUGAUUUAUAUGGUAUUUACUAAGCACCAGUAAAUAAUGAGCACUUAUUGAGGUUUAAGUGCCAUAUACUUAGCCUACCUGUCUUACUUCAUCUAUAUUUGGGAGGUGCAUUGCCUCAGAGUAAAGCUGCCUACUUUUGCUGUCUCCUUGAAACUAUUUAAAUCCACAAUUUCCCCUGAUGAUAGGAGAACUUUUGUGACUGUAUUUGAAAAUUUUAGUUGAUAAAUUUACUUUCAGUGACUUGAAAAUAAAGUCCAUUUCUUUCUUCCUUUUCCCCUAAGCAUUGUGUCUACACCUGAAUUCACAGUUAGAGGCAGAAAAUAAACGUCUUUGCAGGAAGUGAUUCCAAUUCCAUCUCCACCUCUUCAGCUGGAGGCCAGAAGGGAGAGCGCAGGACACAGUGUGGAGUGUGUACUCUUGUUGGCUGUGGUUUAUUGACAAGGACACUGAUUCCACCACGGAAACCACUAAACCACAGCGUCAUCUCUGAGGUUGCCUGAGGUGGCCAGAUAUCAGAGCCAAGAGGUCAGUGAUACUGAUGGGACUGUUGGUCAACUGAGUGCACAAACGUCAGCCUAGGGUGGAGGAAGACCUGGGAGAGCCCAGGUGGAGGCUGUGGCUGGAGAUGGGUGAUACCACCGGUAAUCAGUGCCGAGUCCUGCUCCCCACAUGUUGACACUAGAGAAGCACGCCAAGGCAAGUGUAUAAAGCAGGGUUCACUUUAAAAGGGGUAACACAGACUUCCCCUGGGACGAAGAAGGGGGCCAUAGCUGGAUCCUGGUGUCCCCAGAAGUGAGGGAUUCUGCCUUUUUAUAUCCCAGGCUUCCUUUGUCCUCCUGCUCUCUUCCCCUCACCUCUCUCCUCCCUGUGCAUGUGACUAGGCCCAGGAGAUGCUCAGUGGGUGGCCAAAGGGUGAGAAGCAGAUGGAAGGGGAAGGGCCAGAUGGAGCAGCCCUGGGCACUAACAACUUUAUAACUCCCUGUAGGGAGGGACAUUCUGGGACAGGUUACCUUAGCCACAGGUUGGAGCCCCACGGGUUAUCUUGACGGGGUGGAGGAAGGGCUCUGAAGGCAUUUCAGUCCCUCAGGGGACAGUCUCCAACUUCCUGGACUCACUCAAAUUGGCCUCCUUGAUCCGACCUGACUCGGUUUACCUGUCUAUACCGACAGCCUAAUUCUGGCUUCGCUGGGACUGACUCACCAUGAGGAGACCCUUGAUCUGGAGGGAUCAACUGACCUUGGCAAGGGCCAUCCCUCGAGCUGCCUGUUAACAUGGAAUGCCAACCCCCCUACAGUGCUCAUCAAGUACACCCUGAGUCUCAGCGUCACUGAGUGACGCACUGGCACACGCCAGAUACAGUGGUGUUUUAUGCCUGUGGAACAUUGACAAAAUAAUAGCAUUAUUGUGUUAGAAGAGAAAGCUACACUUGGUGGCCUGACGGAUUGAUUCCUUCAAUAAAGAUGAACACCUGUUGGCCUAGUAAAAUGAAAGGGGCUUGGAAGAGGACAGAGAACAAGCUUUCUGUACCUUCUGCAACUGCGUGGGCCUAGCCAGCAACUGAGCCCUGGAGAGGACUGGUGCUGACCAGGGGCAAAGAGGAUCCUCUGGCCUCACAUUCAGGCCUGGAUCGUGGCACCUGAGGACGUGUGGUGGAGGAGAAGGGCUUCCGUUGUGGGCCAGCACUUGCUCCUGAGAGCCACAGAGAGGAGCUCAGUGCCUUUGCUGGAGAAGGCCUGCGCUGGACAAGAUGGUGCUGCCUGCCCGGGAGGAAGGCUCAGUUACAGCUGUCCAUGGUGCUCACCCGUUUUCCUGCUCUGGUCUUUCUUUUUGGACUUGGGCUCUCCCUGUAGUUUUAAGCUGCCUGGCCUUUGUCCUUGUCCCGGACCCCAUCACACUGGUCAAGUCUCUAGUGUUCUGGGUGAUUGACAAUCUUGCCCUGCUUGGUUCUCUUCUGGGCAGACUCCACUUUCUCCUGCUCUGACUCUUCCCCGCAGUGGGAGCCCUCUGGGAUGCAUGGUCCUGCCUGGGUCUCCAGUGGAGGCCUUGGAUUUUCUUUCUGGUCAAAAGAGAAACCUGUCCUUUUGAGAACGAUUAAAAUGCUCCAGUUUUUUCAAAUUUAAAUGAGUGCCUGAAAAUAGCUUUGUGGUUAUUUGACGGCAGGGGGACCCAAAAGCAGCUCGUGACCUCCUCAUAAUCACGAACACUGAGACAGGCCACUUUUGCAACCUGCUGUUCUCUAGGGUGAUGAAAUAUCUGACUCCAAGUCCUACAAUAUCCUUUUCAAUCAGGAUAUCUGAGAUUUUAUUUAUAUACAGAAGUGUCAGUUCAAACAUUAAAAAUGUAAGAAAUCUCAAAUUGCUUAGAUUUCUACAUAUUCUUCAUUG